GAUGAACGCUGGCGGCGUGCCUAAUACAUGCCAGUCGAGCGAACAGAUGAGGAGCUUGCUCCUCUGACGUUAGCGGCGGACGGGUGAGUAACACGUGGAUAACCUACCUAUAAGACUGGGAUAACUUCGGGAAACCGGAGCUAAUACCGGAUAAUAUAUUGAACCGCAUGGUUCAAUAGUGAAAGACGGUUUUGCUGUCACUUAUAGAUGGAUCCGCGCCGCAUUAGCUAGUUGGUAAGGUAACGGCUUACCAAGGCAACGAUGCGUAGCCGACCUGAGAGGGUGAUCGGCCACACUGGAACUGAGACACGGUCCAGACUCCUACGGGAGGCAGCAGUAGGGAAUCUUCCGCAAUGGGCGAAAGCCUGACGGAGCAACGCCGCGUGAGUGAUGAAGGUCUUCGGAUCGUAAAACUCUGUUAUUAGGGAAGAACAAAUGUGUAAGUAACUAUGCACGUCUUGACGGGACCUAAUCAGAAAGCCACGGCUAACUACGU
rnacentral:rRNA from 1 species